rnacentral:rRNA from 1 species
GGAUUAGAUACCCUGGUAGUCCUUGCUGUAAACGAUGCAUACUUGGUGUAGUUGGACUCAACCCCGACUGUGCCGUAGCUAACGCGUUAAGUAUGCCACCUGGGGAGUACGCCCGCAAGGGUGAAACUCAAAAGAAUUGACGGGGGCCCGCACAAGCAGUGGAGCAUGUGGUUUAAUUCGAUGCAACGCGAAGAACCUUACCCAGGCUUGACAUAUAAAGGACCGCUAUAGAGAUAUAGCUUCCCGCAAGGGCCUUUAUACAGGUGCUGCAUGGCUGUCGUCAGCUCGUGCCG